rnacentral:rRNA from 1 species
UACAGAGGGUGCAAGCGUUGUUCGGAAUUGUUGGGCGUAAAGCGCGUGUAGGGGGCUUUGCAAGUCGCGUGUGAAAGCCCUCGGCUCAACCGCGGAAGUCCGCGCGAAACUGCAGAGCUUGAGUACCGGAGAGGAUGGCGGAAUUCCCCAAGUAGAGGUGAAAUUCGUAGAUAUGGGGAGGAACACCGGUGGCGAAGGCGGCCAUCUGGACGGAUACUGACGCUGAGCCGCGAAAGCGUGGGGAGCAAACAGG